rnacentral:rRNA from 1 species
GACGAACGCUGGCGGCGUGCUUAACACAUGCAAGUCGAACGGAGUGGCGAACGGGUGAGUAACACGUGGGUGACCUGCCCUUCACUUCGGGGUAAGCCUGGGAAACUGGGUCUAAUACCGGAUAGUGUGGGAUGGGCCCGGGGCUUAUCAGCUUGUUGGUUGGGUAAUGGCCUACCAAGGCGGCGACGGGUAGCCGGCCUGGGAGGGUGGACGGCGACCAUGGGCCUGCGAGACGGCCCAGACUCCUACGGGAGGCAGCAGUGGGGAGUAUGGCACAAUGGGUGGAAGCCUGAUGCAGCGACGCCGCGUGGGGGAUGACGGCCUUGGGGUUGUAAACUCCUGUGACCGUCGACGCGGUAGAUGGAGAAGAAGCACCGGCUAACUACGUGCCAGCCGCCGCGGUAAUUC